UGGACUAAUGGAAACAUGCCAUGUGUCAAGCUUGGAUUAUUCUAGAAUUUCCUUGUAAAAUCUAUUUAAAACUCUCUUAGUCUCACCCAUAUGGCUGGCCAAAGCGUGAAGUGAAGAGGAAAGGAAAGAACAGAAACCCUAGGUGGAAAAAUUGAAGAAAAAGUGUGGGAUUUCAAGGGAUUAAGCUAAUAAAGGUAAAAUUUUGUGAUUUUAUCUUGUGAUUUACACUGCCCAUGCUUUCUUUUUCAUUUUCCAUGGUUAGAACUCAAGUUUGCAUAAUGAACCCAUGCUGGCCAAAUUUGAGAGGAGAGGUUUUGAGCAUUGAUUUUGCUAGAUUUCAAGCUAAUUAAGUGUUUUUGGUUGUUUGGUAAUGGAAAGUAUGAAAAUCUAGCAAGGAAUCACUCUGUUCUUCACAAACCCACAAGAGGUCGAAUUUUCUAGGGAGGAUAUUGAGGUUGAAAUUGAUGAUAUUUCAUGAUAUUUUGGUGGUAUUUAAUGAUUGGUGAGGCUAGAAAUUUAAUGGGAAAUUUUGGCAUGAAAAUCUGAAUUUUUACCUAAUGUAUAGACAUGUGCAAUUUAUGGUUCGGAUUGAUAAAUUGAAUCAUAUUCACAGUCAUUGAGGUAUUUUAAGUAGAAUUGGAGUGUAGAAAGUGAAAGAAAUCGAUUUGGAGUUAAAUUGGAGGUUUUAGCCAAUUACAUCGAGAAUAAUGCAAAUUAGGUCGAAUACCGUAUUUAAACGGCUAUUCGGACAUUUUGCAUCACAUUUCGUGCAUUCAUAUAGAUUUAUAGAGCCUGAAAUAGUUUAUGAUAAAUUGACAUAAUUUAUUGAAAUUCGUGUCACGUAUGAUGUAUAGGUGGUGAGCCCUCUAACAAGGGUAAAGAGAUUGUGCUCGAAGACUGGGAAUAGAAAUAUAUCGAACUCUUAGUACUGUGAGUAAUCUAAAGUGGUUUUUAUCCGAUUUUGUGAAUUUCAUGGAAAAUGAAUUAAAUGAUUAAUUUUUUUCUGUUUUAUAAACCAAAUGUGAUUUAAUGAAAUGAUUUCAUAAAAUUGUCUUAAAAUUGAAUAAUGGCUUUGAAAAUAGAGUAAUUGGAGACCAUUUGAUGUAUUGUGAAUUUAUGGUUGUAAUUGAUUGGCUUAUGACAAUAUUGGCAUGAAUGGCUAAAUUGGUAUUUGUGUUGAAAUGUAUAAAUUGUUGUUUGCCUUGAUAGGCUGGAUAAUGAUAAAAUUGCCAUGUUAUGCUGUUGAAUUUUUAUUGUAUGGUGGGUUUAGCUUGCUGCAGUGGGCUGAUUCUGUGGACUAGCCUAUUAGAGGGGCACAAAACCUGGUCAUAUUCUUUCCUCGGCUAGAGAGGCGAGUAGGGUAACUCCCGAGGUAUAACUUUAGAGUUCACUUCACACCAAACCACCUCGUGAUGAUGAACUCCGCUAACACCAAGGAACGGCUAUGUUUUUAAAAUAAAAACAUGAUUUAUGAGUACAUAACUUUUUAACAGCCUUGGUGGACUCGGUUGUGAUAGCCGUCGAUCAAGGCAUCCCUGAUAACUGGGUAUAAAAAUGAUUUUGGCAGGAGCCAAAGCUUUUAAGAAAUUCAUAAGCCAUGUUAAUUACUCGAUUUAUAUGAAUUGAUUUUAUUUGGUUGAAACAAGUUGAAAGGUGAUGAAUUUUAAUAUGUUAAAUUGUUUUAUCUGUCUCCAUUUACUCGACUUUAGAUGGUUUAGAUGGUAUCUGCUUACUCACUGAGAUUUUAUAAUCUCACCACCCUCCUUUUCAACCAUUUCAAGCCCGAGGUAGCCUGUGGAUAGCAGAUAUCGUCAAGGAUUAUA
rnacentral:lncRNA from 1 species